rnacentral:rRNA from 1 species
GCAAGGAAUAUUGGUCAAUGGACGAAAGUCUGAACCAGCCAUGCCGCGUGAAGGAUGAAGGCCCUCUGGGUUGUAAACUUCUUUUAUCUGGGACGAAAAAAGGGUAUUCUUACUCACUUGACGGUACCAGAGGAAUAAGCACCGGCUAACUCCGUGCCAGCAGCCGCGGUAAUACGGAGGGUGCAAGCGUUAUCCGGAUUCACUGGGUUUAAAGGGUGCGUAGGUGGGUAUUUAAGUCAGUGGUGAAAUCUCCGAGCUUAACUCGGAAACUGCCAUUGAUACUAUUUACCUUGAAUGCCCUGGAGGUAAGCGGAAUACGUCAUGUAGCGGUGAAAUGCUUAGAUAUGACAUAGAACACCAAUUGCGAAGGCAGCUUACUACGGGGUGAUUGACACUGAGGCACGAAAGCGUGGGGAGCAAACAGGAUUAGAAACCCUAGUAGUCC